rnacentral:rRNA from 1 species
GACGAACGCUGGCGGCGUGCUUAACACAUGCAAGUCGAACGAUGAAGCCGGAGCUUGCUCUGGUGAAUUAGUGGCGAACGGGUGAGUAACACGUGAGUAACCUGCCCUUGACUCUGGGAUAACUGCUAGAAAUGGUAGCUAAUACCGGAUACGACCCUCGGAGGCAUCUUCAGGGGGUGGAAAGAAUUUCGGUCAAGGAUGGACUCGCGGCCUAUCAGCUAGUUGGUGAGGUAAUGGCUCACCAAGGGGACGACGGGUAGUCGGCCUGAGAGGGUGACCGGCCACACAGGGACUGAGACACGGCCCAGACGCCUACGGGAGGCAGCAGUGGGGAAUAUUGCACAAUGGGCGCAAGCCUGAUGCAGCAGCGCCGCGUGGGGGAUGACGGCCUUCGGGUUGUAAACCUCUUUUAGUAGGGAAGAAGCGAAAGUGACGGUACCUGCAGAAAAAGCACCGGCUAACUACGUGCCAGCCGCCGCAGUAA